UGGGGAAUUUUUUGCAAUGGGCGAAAGCCGGACGGAGCAAUGCCGCGUGGAGGUGGAAGGCCUACGGGUCGUCAACUUCUUUUCUCAGAGAAGAAAUAAUGACGGUAUCUGAGGAAUAAGCAUCGGCUAACUCUGUGCCAA
rnacentral:rRNA from 1 species